GAUGAACGCUGGCGGCGUGCCUAAUACAUGCAAGUCGAGCGAACGGACGCGAAGCUUGCUUCUCUGAUGUUAGCGGCGGACGGGUGAGUAACACGUGGAUAACCUACCUAUAAGACUGAGAUAACUUCGGGACACCGGCGCUAAUACCGGAUAAUAUUUUGAACCGCAUGGUUCAAAAGUGAAAGACGGUCUUGCUGUCACGUAUAGAUGCAUCCGCGCUGCAUUAGCUAGUUGGUAAGGUAACGGCUUACCAAGGCAACGAUGCAUAGCCGACCUGAGAGGGUGAUCGGCCACACUGGAACUGAGCCAGCGUCCUGACUACUGCGGGAGGCAGCAGUAGCGAAUCGUCCGCAAUGGGCGAGAGCCUGACGGAGCAACGCCGCGUGAGUUAUGAAGGUCUUCCGAUCGUAAAGCUCUGUUAUUAGGGAAGAACAUAUGUGUAAUUAACUGUGCACAUCUUGACGGUACCUAAUCAGAAAGCCACGGCUAACUACGUG
rnacentral:rRNA from 1 species